rnacentral:rRNA from 1 species
CCUUGCGCUAAAGGAGCGGCUGAUGUCUGAUUAGCUAGUUGGUGGGGUAAAGCUUACCAAGGCAACGAUCAGUAGUUGGUCUGAGAGGACGACCAGCCACACUGGGACUGAGACACGGCCCAGACUCCUACGGGAGGCAGCAGUGGGGAAUUUUGGACAAUGGGCGAAAGCCUGAUCCAGCCAUGCCGCGUGAGUGAAGAAGGCCUUCGGGUUGUAAAGCUCUUUUAGUCGGAAAGAAAGAGUCAUAGUAAAUAGCUAUGAUUUAUGACGGUACCGACAGAAAAAGCACCGGCU